GAGAGGGAUGUGUAAGUAAUAUUUGAGGUGCCAACCAGCAAAGUCCUUUGUGAUUAGACUUUGAGGGACCAACACGCUUGAGGGAAAAGGGUGGAAGGCAUCAUAAACAUUUCACUUCAUUUUUUUCUCACUUCAACCACACUCAUCUCCCUCUCUCACCUCGUCCCUCACCGAAAAUUUCUCUAUCACGUCGGAGGUGGCGAAGCAACCCAAAAACGACCAAAAUUACCACCAAUCAACUUUUUUUCUCAUCCUCUAAUCAACUCUCCCCAUAAAACUACCUAAAUCUUACUUAAUAGUCCUAUCCUCCACUAAAACCCCCAAGAACCCUAAUUCUAUGAACAAAUUAAAUGAUUGUGAUCAACAAUCUUGAGCCAAAACCUUGAGGUUAUUGUUUUGCAACUUAAAGGCUACAAAGAGGUAACAAAUUUAAAGUAGAAAAAGGAAGAAUCAAGGAAACUAUCUUACUUGCAGAGCAGAGACUUACCCUGGGGGAGUUUGAAGCUGCUUGAAUCAUUGGGUUGAUUGUUAGGCUUGAUAUGAAGCAUGGUUCAUGUAGGUUUGGCAUGGCAUAAUGCAUAUGAAGUAUCUUGAGGAUGAUGAAAAAGUAAGAUUAGGAGUCAAUUUGACUUUAGGUUUAAUUUAGCUUGCAUUUGAAUUUUCAUUUUUUAGACUCAAUUGUAUAAAUGCUGAAAGUUAGAUCUUACUUUCAGUAGUAAAAAUUGAGUUGUACCAGAAUUUUGAUUUCAGUGAGAAGUUAGUUACAAUUUUCUCUC